GAUGAACGCUAGCGGCAGGCCUAAUACAUGCAAGUCGAACGGUGUCUUCGGACAUAGUGGCGCACGGGUGCGUAACACGUAUGCAACCUACCUUACAUUGGGGGAUAGCCUUUCGACAGGGAGAUUAAUACCGCAUAAGACAGUAGCUGGGCAUCCAGCAGCUGUUAAAGAUUUAUCGAUGUAAGAUGGGCAUGCGUCCAAUUAGCUAGUUGGUGAGGUAACGGCUCACCAAGGCAAUGAUUGGUAGGGGAACUGAGAGGUCAAUCCCCCACACUGGCACUGAGAUACGGGCCAGACUCCUACGGGAGGCAGCAGUAGGGAAUAUUGGGCAAUGGACGCAAGUCUGACCCAGCCAUGCCGCGUGCAGGAUGAAGGCGUUAUGCGUUGUAAACUGCUUUUAUACAGGAAGAAACGACUCUUGCGAGAGGCAUUGGCGGUACUGUAUGAAUAAGCACCGGCUAACUCCGUGCCAGCAGCCCAGUAACAC
rnacentral:rRNA from 1 species